CCUACGGGCGGCAGCAGUGGGGAAUAUUGCACAAUGGGCGCAAGCCUGAUGCAGCCAUGCCGCGUGUGUGAAGAAGGCCUUCGGGUUGUAAAGCACUUUCAGCGGGGAGGAAGGCGGUGAGGUUAAUAACCUCAUCGAUUGACGUUACCCGCAGGAGAAGCACCGGCUAACUCCAUGCCAGCAGCCGCGGUAAUACGGAGGGUGCAAGCGUUAAUCGGAAUUACUGGGCGUAAAGCGCACGCAGGCGGUCUGUCAAGUCGGAUGUGAAAUCCCCGGGCUCAACCUGGGAACUGCAUUCGAAACUGGCAGGCUAGAGUCUUGUAGAGGAGGGUAGAAUUCCAGGUGUAGCGGUGAAAUGCGUAGAGAUCUGGAGGAAUACCGGUGGCGAAGGCGGCCCCCUGGACAAAGACUGACGCUCAGGUGCGAAAGCGUGGGGAGCAAACAGGAUUAGAUACCCGAGUAGUC
rnacentral:rRNA from 1 species